ensembl:lncRNA
UGAGAAAUAUAUUUUAGCUGGGUACACUGCCUCCCCCUAUUGUCUCUGAUAAAGGAAAGAGUAAAAACAUGGAUACUGUGUUGAUAGUGAAGAGUUACUGCUACAUAUCUGUUAUAUUUCAGUGCCAUCUCAGACUCCCCUUUGGAGUUAGUCACUGAAAGUGAAAGAAGAGAUACAACUUCAACCACUGAUCACACUUGCUAUAGGAACCUGAGCUUGAUCUCUCGUUGAUGGGGAGAUAAUUAAACCAUAUUCUCCUGGAGAGGCAUGGGCAUGGUUAAACUGGGAAGCUCCAGUAUAGGACAGACACCUGGAAUUCAAUAUAUACAUAUAUAUUUUGUAUUUUUAGGGCUGCACCCUCAGCAUAUGGAGGUUCCCAGGCUAGGGGUCUAAUCAGGGCUACAACUGCUGGCCUAUACCAUAGCCUCAGCAAUGCCAGAUCUGAGCCACGCCCGCAACCUACACCACAGCUCAUGGCAAUGCCAGAUCCUCAAUCCACUGAGCGAGGCCAGGGAUCGACCCUGCAACUUCAUGGUUCCUAGUUGGAUUUGUUUCUGCUGUGCCGUGAUGGAAACUCCAAGGAAUUCAAUAUUUGAGGUUACUGUUGUUCAAGAACAACCUUGAAAUUCCAUGACAUAAAAGAAGUAACUUUUAAAAUAACUUUUUAUGUCAUAUCAAUUUUAGCUCCCCACACACCAAGAAGCAAAUAGUUUUCUUACACCAAGAGUUGUAGUCAUUUUCUAGGGCCAUAGCAAAAUACUAAAUACUAGGUGGCUUGAACAACAGAAAUUUUUUGUCUCAGAUCUGGAGGCUAUAAAUCCAAGUUCAAGUUAUUGAAAGAAUUGGCUAUACAAUACAGUCUGUUCCAUGCCUCUCUCCUAGAUUCUGGUGGUUUUCUGGCAAUCUUUGGUGUUUCUUGGCUUAUAGAUACCUCAUCUUGGCCUCAGCCUUUAUCUGUACAUGGUGUUAUGCCUUUAUCUUCACCUGGUGUCUGACUGUAUGCAAAUUUCUCUUUUUAUGAGGAUCCUACUGACUUGAUCUUAACUUGACUAUAUCUGCAAAGACCCUAUUUCCAAAUAAGCCAACAUCCUGAGCUACUAGGAGUUAGGACUUCAACAUGUACUUUGAAGGAACAUAAUUCAACCCGUAACAAUUGUUAUGCAGAUUACUUGAUCAGAAAAUGAACCUGCAGUAUCCACAUUGCAACAUCCUUUUUUCUUUUCCCUUGAAUUUUUAUGGGGAAAUUAUACACCACAGGGAUAUCGAGAAUUUUAAGGGCCUACUGGUGGCAUACAUUGGAAAUACUGGUUUUAGUAUACUAUUAUGAAAAUAUGUGAGGAAUCUAGAUUACAGUUAGGUGGUUUUUGAACCUGAAGAUACAGAUUUACUUCACGUUAUGGCUGUUCAGUUGACCAGUUUUCAACAUAACAGCUCACUUUUCUCAAAAUAAUAUUUUUUAGGAAUAACAACUUUACCCUAAAUGUACUGAAAACCAUAUACUAAAUCAAUGUAUUUCCAAGAAAAGACACAAUUGACACUUAACACAAUAAUAUCUAAUAAGUAUUAAUUUGAACAAAUUCAAAUUAAGCAUCAUGCUUAGAUGAAACAAAGCAUUUUUGCCCUGUGUUUGUAUGCCAGGUAGGGAGAUGUAGCAUCUUCUGAACUUUUAGUCUCUUUUAUCCCUGUUUCCACAUGUUCCAUCACUCUCAGAUUUAGCCUUUAUUUGGUCAUAGUCUUUUUUAUUUUCUUUCUUUUUAGGGCCGCACCUGCCAUAUAUGUAAGUUGCCAGCUAGGGGUUGAAUCAGAGCUACAGCUGCUAGCCUACACCACAGACACAGCAACACCAGAUCUGAGCUGCAUCUGCAACCUACACUGUAGCUUGUGGAAACACUGGCUCCUUAACAUACUGAGUGAGGCCAGGGAUGGAACCUGCAUCCUCAUGGAUACUAAGGUUCUCAACCCACCAAGACACAAUGUGAAUUCCAAUUUGGUCAUAGUCUUAAGGAAAAGAAAUUCUUUUCUGAUGGGUUGAAUUAUGUCCUCCUAAAAGGUAAGGUCAAUUUUUAAACUCUGAAUAUGAGCUUAUUUGGCAAUGGGUUUUUCUAGAUAUAGACAAAUUAUGCUAAGGUCAUGAUGAGGGGUGCAUGCUCAUCAAACGUCUCAUGUCUUCAGAAGAAAGAAAUGUGGACACAGAGACAAAGAGGGAAUGCCAUACAAAGACAGAGGCAAAGGUUAAAAUGAUGCACGUACCAAGCCAAGGAAUGCCAAGGACUACCGGCAAUCACCAGAAGCUCAGAGAGAGGCAUGGAACAGAUUCUCCCUCAGAGACUCCAGAAAGCUUGUCAAAACUCUUGGACUGGAUUUUGGAUUUUUGGCUUUCAAAAAUAUGAGAGAAUAAAUUUCUGUUUUUUCAAGCCACCCAGCUUGUGAUAAUUUGUCAUGGCAGCCCUAAGAAACUAAUAUAUCCAGCACAUCCACCUUUGACGUCAGACUCCUGUCUGAAGAUUCAUACCAAAUGCCAUCCCUUAUUCAAACUCUCCCUUCCUUGUUUCCUCCAGUGAGCCAUACAAAUCACGUCAUUUUUUUCUGUAUGCUGUGACAAGAGGAGCACGGGGAAGCCUGCAGCAAGGUAUGCUGUUACUGGUCUUCUUUUAUAGACAUCAGCUACUGGUAAGUGAAGGACCAAUGUUGUCCAUUUUCUUCCCUUUAAUAAUGAAUUAGUUUCCUCUUCUCAUGAGAAAUUAGCAAACAUAAAGGAAUCAAUGGACACUGACCUGUACUCUAUAAUGAGCUACAUGUGGUUCACAAAGCAAUUAUAGUAGCAUUACAGCAACAGCAAUUAUAAGUGAUAUGCAGGUUUUUCUAUCCAGUAUUAUCAACCACCUGCUACUCCCAGGACCUGCAUUUCUCUGUUACAUAUAGUUUCUUUUGUUUGUUUUUGUUUUUUGUUUUUUUGUUUUUUUGCUUUUUAGGACCACAUCUGUGGUAUAUGGAAGUUUCCAGGCUAGGGGUUGAAUUGGAGCUGCAACUGCUGGCCUAUACUCUAGCCACACAGCAUCCGAGCCACAACUGUGACCUACACCACAGCUCACAGCAAUGCCAGAACCUUAACCCACUGAGCAAGACCAGCGAUCAAACCUGUAUCCUUAAGGAUACUAGCUGGAUUUGUUACCACUGAGACACAACAGGAUCUCUCACAUAGUCUUUUAACAGUCUCUAAUCUGUCAUGCCUGCUCUUCUGUUCCAUGCUCAUGCAUCCCCUCUUCGAUCUGUUAUGGAGUGU